ACUGACAGCUGAAAAACUAAACUUUUAAAAAAAAUGCAUAUAGUUGGUGAAUUAUCGGUGAAAAUGGUAAAUGAAACAUCCCUGUGUUAUAGUAUUAUUCAUUCUAUAGAGCAUUGGAAGUUUGCUUUUUGUCCCCUUAAUUUUUUUUUUGAGUUUCAGAAAAACAAAAAUAAGAAUGACCAAGUAUUACAUUUUCAUGUACUGGUACUGAUUAUCAAGUCACACUGCAUUAAUUGUGUGAUGCCAAUAGAAUUUUAAAAUGUUCUGUAGAAAAAUAUUCCGCUGCAUUUUUUACGCUUGUCAAUCUAAUUUAACAGACCUAUUGACUGGGUCUAAUGUGUGUUUUAUUUGUGAUACAUGCAUAAUACAAUAAAAGAAAUUUACACUU
rnacentral:misc_RNA from 1 species